rnacentral:lncRNA from 1 species
CAUGGGCCCAUUUGUUUCACGGGGUUUGAACAGUCCAACCCCUUCGACCCCCUUGCGAUCCCCUCCUAUCCACGCGUCUUCCAGGCCUCGAGGGCACCCGCAGGGAAUGAGUCGGGCAAGACGCACCGCGGCACCGAGACAGAGCAUCGUCCCCGUCCCGCUUCCCCGCAGAACCCGCAGAAACCAGAUGCACGCAAUCGAGGCCGACGAGCUGUCCCGCUCGGUCAUAGCCUACCGGAAGGAGCGCCAGCAGGACGAAGAGGCGGAG